GAUGAAGAACGCAGCGAAAUGCGAUAAGUAGUGUGAAUUGCAGAAUUCAGUGAAUCAUCGAAUCUUUGAACGCACAUUGCGCCCCUUGGUAUUCCAUGGGGCAUGCCUGUUCGAGCGUCAUUUGUACCUUCAAGCUCUGCUUGGUGUUGGGUGUUUGUCUCGCCUCUGCGUGUAGACUCGCCUCAAAACAAUUGGCAGCCGGCGUAUUGAUUUCGGAGCGCAGUACAUCUCGCGCUUUGCACUCAUAACGACGACGUCCGAAAGUACAUUUUUACACUCUUGACCUCGGAUCAGGUAGGGAUACCCGCUGAACUUAAGCAUAUCAAUAAGCGGAGGA
rnacentral:misc_RNA from 1 species